GUAGUAGGGGUUCCCCAGGGAGUAGGAAGACUAGAGCCUCCCCUCCUCUCCCAUCAGGCACAGGGGGGUGGCAGCACUCAGCCACCGCAGGCUGUCAGCUGAAAGGGCCAGGCCCUACCAGCCCUCUCCACAAGUGGGCACUAUCCCAGAGCAGACUGGUCCUUUCAGCAUCCAUACAGGACAACAGAGCCCACAGGCCACCCCUCCACAUGAAUUCCCCCAGCCCACCAGCCUUGAGGACUUAUCCACAAUGACCACAUGCAUACAGACAGUAUCAGACCUGAGCCACAACAGCAUCAGACCUGAGCCACAACAGCAGGGCCACAGGGAAGAGGAAGGGCCCCUUCAAAAUGUGGGAACCAGUUCAACAGAUAUUGGUCAUCUGAUAUCCAUAAAUGUUAUAGUAGGCUCUAUCUUUAGGCCGUCUGUCUGACAUGCUGCUGAAGGCUGCUUUUGGAGUUCAUCUGUUUGAUGGAGGAAGUAAUGAGAGUCUUUACGUUGAGAGGCCCAUGGACACCACAGGUACAAGGGCACUAUAAGCAAGGUUUGUGGUCAACGUCCAUGGCCUAGCAGUGAGAUCGCCGCGCUAUAUCAGCCCAGGCUGGUCAUUCAGCAGAGGAACCCAUAAAGAUGUACCUAUCUACCAGCACUUAACCAACCCCAUGGCAGCUUGCCCAGACAGGGACGUAGCUUUUGAUCCUCCAGAGCUCCCAGAGGAGACACUG